GAUGAAAAUUCUCCGGAAUCGCUGUACAACAUUGAUGAUGUAUUUGAACCCUAUCAGCUGAUGGCUGUGGCACUUUAU